GCCACUGAACCUGCAGCGUUAAAGCUUGGCUUUUGCAAGACGGCAUAGAACACGUUGGUGAAUUAUAUAAAACUGCAUAUGAAUGUCUCUUGGCCCCACCAUCUAUGUAAGUGGAGUUCUAUGACUACCUUAUCUCAUGCUAUACUAUGUGUAGUAUGGAUACCUGUACUAUUACUUGACAUUCUUAAGGGACACUAUAAUAGCUAAAACAACUGUAGCUUAAUGAAGCAGUUUUAGUGUGUAGAUAAUGCCCCUGCAGUCUCACUGCUCAAUUCCCUGCCAUUUGAGAGUUAAAUCACUUUGUUU